rnacentral:rRNA from 1 species
AUCAGCAUGCUGCGGUGAAUACGUUCCCGGGCCUUGUACACACCGCCCGUCACACCAUGGGAGUCGGUAACACCCGAAGUCGGUAGUCUAACCGAAAGGAGGACGCCGCGAGUGGGAUUGAUGCUGGGGUGGAAGUCGUAACAAGGUAAC